UCCCCUGACGUGGGCUGGGGCACGUCACCGCCGAAUGGCAGCCUCCAGAAAGCCGCCGCGAGUAAGACAGCAGAAUGCCUCCGAAGGUGACUUCAGAGCUGCUUCGGCAGCUGAGACAAGCCAUGAGGAACUCUGAGUAUGUGACUGAACCGAUCCAGGCCUACAUCAUCCCAUCGGGGGAUGCUCAUCAGGUCUGAAGGACACACCAACUCAGGAAGACUGGCUGGUGAGUGUGCUUCCUGAAGGAUCCAGGGUUGGUGUGGACCCCUUGAUCAUUCCUACAGAUUAUUGGAAGAAAAUGGCCAAAGUUCUGAGAAGUGCCGGCCACCACCUCAUUCCUGUCAAGGAGAACCUCGUUGACAAAAUCUGGACAGACCGUCCUGAGCGCCCUUGCAAGCCUCUCCUUACACUGGGCCUGGAUUACACAGGCAUCUCCUGGAAGGACAAGGUUGCAGAUCUUCGGUUGAAAAUGGCUGAGAGGAACGUCAUGUGGUUUGUGGUCACUGCCUUGGAUGAGAUUGCGUGGCUAUUUAAUCUCCGAGGAUCAGAUGUGGAGCACAAUCCAGUAUUUUUUUCCUACGCAAUCAUAGGACUAGAGACGAUCAUGCUCUUCAUUGAUGGUGACCGCAUAGACGCCCCCAGUGUGAAGGAGCACCUGCUUCUUGACUUGGGUCUGGAGGCCGAAUACAGGAUCCAGGUGCAUCCCUACAAGUCCAUCCUGAGCGAGCUCAAGGCCCUGUGUGCUGACCUUUCCCCAAGGGAGAAGGUGUGGGUCAGUGACAAGGCCAGCUAUGCUGUGAGCGAGACCAUCCCCAAG
rnacentral:sRNA from 1 species